CGGGGCGCUCGGGGAAGCCUGGCGCAGCCGGCCUCGCGUUAGGCAAACGAGAAGUGUAGAAAUCCGUUUUUUCUAAUCGAAAGAGAUACUCCAGAGCCGUGACAUGAUUGAGAAAAGUGACAUCAACUAGAUCAUACAUGUACUGCGAACACAAAGUGUGUAAAUGGCCCCUUCCCUCGCACUACAGAGUUAACAUCUGGAUCCAGCUUCCAUGAUACCUGAGAGAAGCCUUCCCUGGAAGGACCCCCUCCAAGAGCUCCAGGGAUUUCCUCAACCAGCGUUUUCUGAACUGUCUGCUUUUCCACAGGAGGCGGGACCACAUGGGACUUUCUCAUCUUUAAAUCUCCAGCCACUACCACAGUCCCUGGCACCUAAUUGCCCGCCCUCA